GGGGAUGUAAAGGUUUCGACGGGGAUCGCCGAGGCCUGGGGAGCCAUCCGCAGGUUGGGCUGCGUCAUCAACCAAACCUUAAAUAUAAACGCUAAAAACAAUAACAACGCUGAUUUCGAUUACAACGAAAUGGCAUUUGCUGCUUAAUUAAAGCAGUCCGUUCUGUCUGGGGGUCCCGCGACCUGGAACAGGGCGUCGACUUAGCGGGGAACUUUUCGUCUUAAGCUUUGCGGGCGAUAAAGAUCGGAUGAAGCUACUGAAAUAGCUCUCCUGCUGUUGGGAGUCUAUGGAGGGAAUGUUUGAACAGCAGCUGUGAUGGAAGAGCCCCGGACGGAGGGAUUUUCGGACAGGAGUUCGAUUCUCCUCAUCUCCAU
rnacentral:tmRNA from 1 species